UACGGGGGGGGCAAGCGUUGUUCGGAAUUACUGGGCGUAAAGGGCGCGUAGGCGGCCCUCUAAGUCAGACGUGAAAUCCCACGGCUCAACCGUGGAACUGCGUCUGAUACUGUCGGGCUAGAGUACGGAAGAGGCGAGUGGAAUUCCUGGUGUAGCGGUGAAAUGCGCAGAUAUCAGGAGGAACACCGAUUGCGAAGGCAGCUCGCUGGGACGUCACUGACGCUGAGACGCGAAAGCGUGGGGAGCAAACAGG
rnacentral:rRNA from 1 species